rfam:Cercopithecine herpesvirus 1 strain E2490, complete genome.
GGACGCGAAGCGUCCGCACUUUGUCCUAAUAUAUAUAUAUAUAUUAGGACAAAGUGCGGACGCUUCGCGUCC